CGCCCGCCUCGGCACAACAUGGCGAUGCACAACAAGGCGGCGCCGCCGCAGAUCCCGGACACCCGGCGGGAGCUGGCGGAGCUCGUGAAGCGGAAGCAGGAGCUGGCGGAAACACUGGCAAACUUAGAGAGACAGAUCUAUGCUUUUGAAGGAAGCUACCUGGAAGACACUCAGAUGUAUGGCAACAUUAUUCGUGGCUGGGAUCGGUAUCUGACCAACCAAAAAAACUCCAAUAGCAAAAACGAUAGAAGGAACCGGAAGUUUAAGGAAGCAGAGCGGCUCUUCAGUAAAUCCUCAGUUACUUCAGCAGCUGCAGUAAGUGCAUUGGCAGGAGUUCAGGACCAGCUCAUUGAAAAGAGGGAGCCAGGAAGUGGGACGGAAAGUGAUACUUCUCCAGACUUCCACAAUCAGGAAAAUGAGCCCAGCCAGGAGGAUCCUGAGGAUCUGGAUGGAUCUGUGCAGGGAGUGAAACCUCAGAAGGCUGCUUCUUCUACUUCCUCAGGGAGUCAUCAUAGCAGCCAUAAAAAACGAAAGAAUAAAAACCGGCACAGCCCGUCUGGCAUGUUUGAUUAUGACUUUGAGUAUGUAUAUUAGGUUAGGCUGGGAAGUUUUUUUUAAAAACAGAAAAACGUGAUGGAGGAUUGAUCUGAAGUUAAACAAAAAACCACGAGCUGAUUAUUAGAAGACUCAUUAGUGCAGAAGCGUCCAGGCUAUAGAGCCCUGCUUCCCUCCUCCGACCUCACAAAGAUAAACACCCCUCACCUGGCUGCGUGGCCAUCCAUCUCUGCUUUCCCAGACCUGGUGCCUGUGACUCUGAGUAGUUUGUUCUGAAAUGUGGUGACAAACAAGUCAUUUCUGUAAGACCAUAUUGGAGCAUUUAUUUUGUGUCAUUUUCCGUAACAACUGCAGGACGACCCAAGACAUUGUUUUAAUCCCAGCAAGUUGCUAAGUGUGCAUUUCUCCGUUCUUGGAACCAAUGUCUCCCCCGUCAAACUGCUGGCUGGCACCAGCCUCAUCUGUGAUGCGCAUCGAGAAAUGUUCUCUAGGUUUGUUUUAUGCUGAACGUAGAACAAGUCACGUUUCAGAGGGAGGCUGUAAAUAUCUGGCGUUUUCUUAUUUUGUUUGUGUUUUAUCGUUUUUCUAUGAUUGUUUUUACCAUCUUAUUUGCUUUGGGGACUUUUUGUAAUGCCAUUAUACAGCUCAUACCUUCCUGCUGACAUAUCUGAUCAUCUCUUUCGUGCAGUUGCCAAUAUUCUUAACUGAAAGUAAUUUGGUUUACCAUAAAUAAAAUGGGGACUUGGCUUUUUGUUUCUUUGCAGAGGGAAGGUAAAGAGUGUUUAUUUAAUAAUUACCUAUCUUAAAUCUUUUUGAGUUGGAAGCAGUUUCAUGUUCAAGGAACAGGAAAAACUGAAACACAUGAGUUUAAAUGAGUCCUUUUAAAAUAGGUAUUUUUAUUCUUUUGUAUAAAUAAAAUUUCACAGGCUUUGACUUCUCAUCCUUCACCUUUAAACUUGAGAUUGUUUUUUCACUCACUUAUUCGUAUCAUGCCUUACGGAAAUCUCUUUCUCCAUCUUUUCUCUCUCUUUGAUGGUAUUUGCCUGAUUAAGUAUUGCUCUAAAAAUGACUAAGGCAAAUGGAAAGGCUCUAAAUUGUACCCAAAGCUGAUAACGCCUGGAGUCCUUGAGCAAAGUGAAUGACAGGAUCACCGAGAGGCCGCGAUGCCCAGCAAAUGCCCCUUCCUUUCAGGGUGGAUGGGCUGAGGAGUCUGUUGAUGGUUGUUACCUGCCUCUGGAGCAGCGGCCAUCCACCUUGGCUGCACAUUGGAAUCACCUGGGAUGCUUAAAAAAAUACCAGUGCCUGGGUCGCACCCCCCAAGACUCUGACUUGGGUACGGCCUAGUAUUGGGGAUAUUCGUUCGAAGAGUCCCUGGCAUUCUGACAAGAAACCAAGUUGAGAACCACUGCAUUAGGAGACUGGAUUGUUCGAUUUAAAUCCUAUGUCAUGAAUCAGUCUAAGGGAUAUGCUGUGGGGCCUCACCUUUCCUUUGACUCUAUUUAGUCAUAAAUACUUAUCUCCAUAUCUUUGUUAGAAAAAAUAUGUUCCAUUUGUGGCAAUAUUGGUAGAGCUGAAAUAUGGAUGGCGUCUAUUAUCAAAACACGUCUACCUUGUCAGAUGUGCAAAAGCUUCCUCUUGUUCUCAAAUAAACUUUUUUUUUUUUUUUUGA